CAAAGGAAUUGAGUCCGCCUCCGUCAGGGUCACCAACUAUCCUGCCAGCCUCCUGGACGGACCUCAGGCUCUGUCUCAAUUCCAGAUUAAGUAGGAUCUCUGAGGUCAGAAAAAGAGCCAGGAAGUGGUGGAUGGGCAGCUAAGAUCAGUGUUCCUUUCCCUACCUGGUUUCCUCUCCACUCCAGUUCCCUCAUCCCCACACACACUGACUGAGGAUAUCACUGGCCUUCCUGCUGAAUCCGGAGGUGUGGGAUUUGACAGAACCGGGUCUAGGAGUCAUAUACGUAAAAGUAAACCUGGCAGCAUAUGGGCAUCAACACAGACAGACACACAGAUAUCCAGAUGUACCUACCCCCUUCAGCAGCCAGGAUCCAAAUCACCUCCAGCAGUAGAGUGAAGAACAACAUGGUAUCCCCGGAAGAAGCAGUCUUCACUCCACUUGCUGGCCGGUGACUUCACAAUUGCCUCCCGCUUUUAAGAGUCACCCGCCUGAGGAUGCGCCCAUUU